rnacentral:rRNA from 1 species
GAUGUAGGCGGCUUGGUAAGUCAGAUGUGAAAGCCCAGGGCUCAACCCUGGAAGUGCAUUUGAUACUGCCAUGCUUGAGUAUGGGAGAGGAGAGCGGAAUUCCCAGUGUAGAGGUGAAAUUCGUAGAUAUUGGGAGGAACACCCGUGGCGAAGGCGGCUCUCUGGACCAAUACUGACGCUGAGACGCGAAAGCGUGGGGAGCAAACAGGAUUAGAUACCCUGGUAGUCC